rnacentral:rRNA from 1 species
GAUCAUGGCUCAGGAUGAACGCUAGCGACAGGCCUAACACAUGCAAGUCGAGGGGCAGCGGGGAGGUAGCAAUACCUUUGCCGGCGACCGGCGCACGGGUGAGUAGCACGUAUGCAAUCCACCUGUAACAGGGGGGAUAACCCGGAGAAAUCCGGACUAAUACCCCAUGAUAUGGGCUCUCCGCAUGGAGGGUCCAUUAAAGAGAGCAAUCUUGGUUACAGACGAGCAUGCG